UACAGAGGUCUCAAGCGUUGUUCGGAUUCAUUGGGCGUAAAGAGCUCGUAGGCGGUCUGUCGCGUCGGAUGUGAAAGCCCGGGGCUUAACUCCGGGUCUGCAUUCGAUACGGGCAGACUAGAGUGUGGUAGGGGAGAUCGGAAUUCCUGGUGUAGCGGUGAAAUGCGCAGAUAUCAGGAGGAACACCGGUGGCGAAGGCGGAUCUCUGGGCCAUUACUGACGCUGAGGAGCGAAAGCGUGGGGAGCGAACAGG
rnacentral:rRNA from 1 species